GUAAAAGUAGUCUAAAAUUUUAGAGACAAGGACUAAUAGUUGUCAAGUCUAGAGCUGAGUAAUUGAGUUAUAUCAAGCAGAGUAUGUGUGUGUGUGGUGUGGUAAGAAGAUUAAUCCUUGAGAUCAAUGUUAUCAAAUUCAGUUUCCCUAUCUCUCUACUAAGUUACUAUACGUUUUGUGUUAGAAAAUAUACAAAACAGAGGAGAGAAAGAAGGGAACAACGUUUUCUUUGUUUCAACAGAGGAGAGUAACGAAACAGAGAGACUAGAGAGACUAAACAAUGAGCUAUAGAACUUAGCAUUAGGAAUACACCCGUCUUCUCUCAUCUUCUCAUAGACUCCUAAAGCUUCAGCUACUUGUUUAGAUUUGCCCAAACCCUUCUCCACCUAUGAGCACGAAGUCACAACUUUUACUUUACUUUUUUUUUGUUUUUGUUUUCAUAUAUUGAAUUUGGUAUGUUUGUCAGCGGGUGUAACUUAUGACAAAAGAAAAUAUUUAUUUAAAUAAAAUACUUUGAAGAGAAGUAGAGAACCAAAGAAAAAGAAAGAAGACAGA
rnacentral:lncRNA from 1 species